AUGAAGAGGGCGAAGCGGAUCCAGUGUCCGGCUCCGCUGCCCGAAGAACCGGUCAUCCCACGCCUAGCGGAGAUGCUGGUGCCGGCGCAUUAUAAGGUGCCGGAGAAGAAGGCCAAGAAAAAGGCCAAGGGGGCGAAGAGUGGCCCCCGUCGCAAGGGCACUUCGGGCGCGACGUCUGAAGACGAUGAGGCCCAUUCCUCUGUCCCUGAGGACAAUGACGAGGAAGAGGAGAAGAAGAAGAGGGCGGUCUCGGCACAUCCGGAGGCGAAAGCGCCCAAAAAGGGGAAGGGCGCCCCAGUGGUCAAUACCACAUGGGAUGUUGACAGUAGUCCGGAAUGA
rnacentral:rRNA from 1 species